GACGAACGCUGGCGGCGUGCUUAACACAUGCAAGUCGAACGAUGAACCGGGUGCUUGCACUUGGGGAUUAGUGGCGAACGGGUGAGUAACACGUGAGUAACCUGCCCUGGACUCUGGGAUAACCCCGAGAAAUCGGAGCUAAUACCGGAUAGGACCUUUCCUCGCAUGAGGUUUGGUGGGAAGUUUUUCGGUCUGGGAUGGACUCGCGGCCUAUCAGCUUGUUGGUGAGGUAAUGGCUCACCAAGGCGUCGACGGGUAGCCGGCCUGAGAGGGUGACCGGCCACACUGGGAGUGAGACACGGCCCAGACUCCUACGGGAGGCAGCAGUGGGGAAUAUUGCACAAUGGGCGCAAGCCUGAUGCAGCAACGCCGCGUGCGGGAUGACGGCCUUCGGGUUGUAAACCGCUUUUAGUAGGGAAGAAGGGCUUCGGCUUGACGGUACCUGCAGAAAAAGGACCGGCUAACUACGUGCCAGCCGCCGCGGUAAAAC
rnacentral:rRNA from 1 species